AGGGACUUUUGGGGGCAGAUGUGUUUCCAUUACACUAUCAUAAUGCCCCUAAAAAUCCUUAUUGCUCUUGCA
ncrna:Taeniopygia guttata (zebra finch) microRNA tgu-mir-365 precursor (tgu-mir-365-1)